rnacentral:rRNA from 1 species
CCUCAUAAAGUGCGUCGUAGUCCGGAUUGGAGUCUGCAACUCGACUCCAUGAAGUCGGAAUCGCUAGUAAUCGUAGAUCAGAAUGCUACGGUGAAUACGUUCCCGGGCCUUGUACACACCGCCCGUCACACCAUGGGAGUGGGUUGCAAAAGAAGUAGGUAGCUUAACCUUCGGGAGGGCGCUUACCACUUUGUGAUUCAUGACUGGGGUGAAGUCGUAACAAGGUAACCGUAGGGGAACCUGCGGUUGGAUCACCUCCUUA